GGGUUGUGAGGUUAAGCGACUAAGCGUACACGGUGGAUGCCCUGGCAGUCAGAGGCGAUGAAGGACGUGCUAAUCUGCGAUAAGCGUCGGUAAGGUGAUAUGAACCGUUAUAACCGGCGAUUUCCGAAUGGGGAAACCCAGUGUGAUUCGUCACACUAUCAUUAACUGAAUCCAUAGGUUAAUGAGGCGAACCGGGGGAACUGAAACAUCUAAGUACCCCGAGGAAAAGAAAUCAACCGAGAUUCCCCCAGUAGCGGCGAGCGAACGGGGAGGAGCCCAGAGCCUGAAUCAGUGUGUGUGUUAGUGGAAGCGUCUGGAAAGGCGCGCGAUACAGGGUGACAGCCCCGUACACAAAAAUGCACAUGCUGUGAGCUCGAUGAGUAGGGCGGGACACGUGGUAUCCUGUCUGAAUAUGGGGGGACCAUCCUCCAAGGCUAAAUACUCCUGACUGACCGAUAGUGAACCAGUACCGUGAGGGAAAGGCGAAAAGAACCCCGGCGAGGGGAGUGAAAAAGAACCUGAAACCGUGUACGUACAAGCAGUGGGAGCACAGAGCAAUCUGUGUGACUGCGUACCUUUUGUAUAAUGGGUCAGCGACUUAUAUUCUGUAGCAAGGUUAACCGAAUAGGGGAGCCGAAGGGAAACCGAGUCUUAACUGGGCGUUAAGUUGCAGGGUAUAGACCCGAAACCCGGUGAUCUAGCCAUGGGCAGGUUGAAGGUUGGGUAACACUAACUGGAGGACCGAACCGACUAAUGUUGAAAAAUUAGCGGAUGACUUGUGGCUGGGGGUGAAAGGCCAAUCAAACCGGGAGAUAGCUGGUUCUCCCCGAAAGCUAUUUAGGUAGCGCCUCGUGAAUUCAUCUCCGGGGGUAGAGCACUGUUUCGGCAAGGGGGUCAUCCCGACUUACCAACCCGAUGCAAACUGCGAAUACCGGAGAAUGUUAUCACGGGAGACACACGGCGGGUGCUAACGUCCGUCGUGAAGAGGGAAACAACCCAGACCGCCAGCUAAGGUCCCAAAGUCAUGGUUAAGUGGGAAACGAUGUGGGAAGGCCCAGACAGCCAGGAUGUUGGCUUAGAAGCAGCCAUCAUUUAAAGAAAGCGUAAUAGCUCACUGGUCGAGUCGGCCUGCGCGGAAGAUGUAACGGGGCUAAACCAUGCACCGAAGCUGCGGCAGCGACGCUUAUGCGUUGUUGGGUAGGGGAGCGUUCUGUAAGCCUGUGAAGGUGUGCUGUGAGGCAUGCUGGAGGUAUCAGAAGUGCGAAUGCUGACAUAAGUAACGAUAAAGCGGGUGAAAAGCCCGCUCGCCGGAAGACCAAGGGUUCCUGUCCAACGUUAAUCGGGGCAGGGUGAGUCGACCCCUAAGGCGAGGCCGAAAGGCGUAGUCGAUGGGAAACAGGUUAAUAUUCCUGUACUUGGUGUUACUGCGAAGGGGGGACGGAGAAGGCUAUGUUGGCCGGGCGACGGUUGUCCCGGUUUAAGCGUGUAGGCUGGUUUUCCAGGCAAAUCCGGAAAAUCAAGGCUGAGGCGUGAUGACGAGGCACUACGGUGCUGAAGCAACAAAUGCCCUGCUUCCAGGAAAAGCCUCUAAGCAUCAGGUAACAUCAAAUCGUACCCCAAACCGACACAGGUGGUCAGGUAGAGAAUACCAAGGCGCUUGAGAGAACUCGGGUGAAGGAACUAGGCAAAAUGGUGCCGUAACUUCGGGAGAAGGCACGCUGAUAUGUAGGUGAAGUCCCUCGCGGAUGGAGCUGAAAUCAGUCGAAGAUACCAGCUGGCUGCAACUGUUUAUUAAAAACACAGCACUGUGCAAACACGAAAGUGGACGUAUACGGUGUGACGCCUGCCCGGUGCCGGAAGGUUAAUUGAUGGGGUUAGCGCAAGCGAAGCUCUUGAUCGAAGCCCCGGUAAACGGCGGCCGUAACUAUAACGGUCCUAAGGUAGCGAAAUUCCUUGUCGGGUAAGUUCCGACCUGCACGAAUGGCGUAAUGAUGGCCAGGCUGUCUCCACCCGAGACUCAGUGAAAUUGAACUCGCUGUGAAGAUGCAGUGUACCCGCGGCAAGACGGAAAGACCCCGUGAACCUUUACUAUAGCUUGACACUGAACAUUGAGCCUUGAUGUGUAGGAUAGGUGGGAGGCUUUGAAGUGUGGACGCCAGUCUGCAUGGAGCCGACCUUGAAAUACCACCCUUUAAUGUUUGAUGUUCUAACGUUGACCCGUAAUCCGGGUUGCGGACAGUGUCUGGUGGGUAGUUUGACUGGGGCGGUCUCCUCCUAAAGAGUAACGGAGGAGCACGAAGGUUGGCUAAUCCUGGUCGGACAUCAGGAGGUUAGUGCAAUGGCAUAAGCCAGCUUGACUGCGAGCGUGACGGCGCGAGCAGGUGCGAAAGCAGGUCAUAGUGAUCCGGUGGUUCUGAAUGGAAGGGCCAUCGCUCAACGGAUAAAAGGUACUCCGGGGAUAACAGGCUGAUACCGCCCAAGAGUUCAUAUCGACGGCGGUGUUUGGCACCUCGAUGUCGGCUCAUCACAUCCUGGGGCUGAAGUAGGUCCCAAGGGUAUGGCUGUUCGCCAUUUAAAGUGGUACGCGAGCUGGGUUUAGAACGUCGUGAGACAGUUCGGUCCCUAUCUGCCGUGGGCGCUGGAGAAUUGAGGGGGGCUGCUCCUAGUACGAGAGGACCGGAGUGGACGCAUCACUGGUGUUCGGGUUGUCAUGCCAAUGGCACUGCCCGGUAGCUAAAUGCGGAAGAGAUAAGUGCUGAAAGCAUCUAAGCACGAAACUUGCCCCGAGAUGAGUUCUCCCUGACUCCUUGAGAGUCCUGAAGGAACGUUGAAGACGACGACGUUGAUAGGCCGGGUGUGUAAGCGCAGCGAUGCGUUGAGCUAACCGGUACUAAUGAACCGUGAGGCUUAACCUUACAACGCCGAAGGUGUUU
rnacentral:rRNA from 1 species